rnacentral:rRNA from 1 species
UACGUAGGGAGCGAGCGUUGUCCGGAUUUAUUGGGCGUAAAGGGCGCGUAGGCGGCGGGGUAAGUCGGGUGUGAAAUCUCAGGGCUCAACCCUGAAACUGCACUUGAUACUGCUCUGCCUGAGGACUGGAGAGGAGACUGGAAUUCACGGUGUAGCAGUGAAAUGCGUAGAUAUCGUGAGGAAGACCAGUGGCGAAGGCGGGUCUCUGGACAGUUCCUGACGCUGAGGCGCGAAGGCCAGGGGAGCAAACGGG